GUGAAGCGGCAACAGCUCAAAUUUGAAAUCUGGCCUCUUCGGGGUCCGAGUUGUAAUUUGUAGAGGGUGUUUCAGGCGCGAUGCCGGUCUAAGUUCCUUGGAACAGGACGUCGCAGAGGGUGAGAAUCCCGUACGCGACCGGCGAUCAAGCCUGUGUGAAGCCCCUUCGACGAGUCGAGUUGUUUGGGAAUGCAGCUCAAAAUGGGUGGUAAAUUUCAUCUAAAGCUAAAUAUUGGCCAGAGACCGAUAGCGGACAAGUAGAGUGAUCGAAAGAUGAAAAGCACUUUGGAAAGAGAGUCAAACAGUACGUGAAAUUGUUGAAAGGGAAGCGCUUGCAAUCAGACCGGUCCGGAGGCGAUCAGCCGCUGCUCGUUCAGCGGUGCACUCGCCUGCGAUCCGGCCAGCAUCGGUUCGGGUGGCGGGAUAAAAGUCCCGGGAAUGUAGCUUCUUUCGGGGAGUCUUAUAGCCCGGGUCGCAAUGCCGCCCGCCCGGACCGAGGACCGCGCUUCGGCUAGGAUGCUGGCGUAAUGGUUGCAAGCGACCCGUCUUGAAACACGGA
rnacentral:rRNA from 1 species